rnacentral:rRNA from 1 species
GAACAGAUAAGGAGCUUGCUCCUUUGACGUUAGCGGCGGACGGGUGAGUAACACGUGGAUAACCUACCUAUAAGACUGGGAUAACUUCGGGAAACCGGAGCUAAUACCGGAUAAUAUAUUGAACCGCAUGGUUCAAUAGUGAAAGACGGUUUUGCUGUCACUUAUAGAUGGAUCCGCGCCGCAUUAGCUAGUUGGUAAGGUAACGGCUUACCAAGGCAACGAUGCGUAGCCGACCUGAGAGGGUGAUCGGCCACACUGGAACUGAGACACGGUCCAGACUCCUACGGGAGGCAGCAGUAGGGAAUCUUCCGCAAUGGGCGAAAGCCUGACGGAGCAACGCCGCGUGAGUGAUGAAGGUCUUCGGAUCGUAAAACUCUGUUAUUAGGGAAGAACAAAUGUGUAAGUAACUAUGCACGUCUUGACGGUACCUAAUCAGAAAGCCACGGCUAACUACGUGCCAGCAGCCGCGGUAAUACGUAGGUGGCAAGCGUUAUCCGGAAUUAUUGGGCGUAAAGCGCGCGUAGGCGGUUUUUUAAGUCUGAUGUGAAAGCCCACGGCUCAACCGUGGAGGGUCAUUGGAAACUGGAAAACUUGAGUGCAGAAGAGGAAAGUGGAAUUCCAUGUGUAGCGGUGAAAUGCGCAGAGAUAUGGAGGAACACCAGUGGCGAAGGCGACUUUCUGGUCUGUAACUGACGC